rnacentral:lncRNA from 1 species
CUCAUUGUAAGAAAGCCCAAGAGUAAGCUAUGUGAGGUUGAUGGCGAUGCUUAAAAAGCAAUCGACUUACAAGGGUAUGGAAAUGGGCUCGACAUUGAAUCGAGAAAAGUGUGAUUCUAAUAGUUUAAAGCGGUUUUGAAUGGAUGAUGAAAUUAAAAGAAACCAAAUUUGUGUUAUUAAAUAAUAAUGAAACUAUGAGUAUGGGAGAAAUUAUACUAAAACAUAAACAUGAAAAAAAAAUGAACGCUAGAAGAAAUAAAAUGCUAUAUAUGGGUAUUGAACCCACUCCACUAAAGACCAUGAAACUGCCCUCUCUCCACCAGACCAAUUAUGAUGAGUUAUUAUUUACAACCACUUGGGUAUAUAAACCAAAACAAAUUGGAAUAAAAAAUUUUAAAAAAAUAAAAAAUAAAAUAAAAACUAAAAUGAAGUAGUCUGUUGGGUUUUCAAAAGAGAAGUUAAUUGGUGGAGAUAAACAUGAAUAUGUUACGAUUACCCGCAAGCCAAAAUUAAUGACCAACUAAGGGAAACUAAAUGGACACUUAAAUGGAUUUAACGGUCGGUUUAAUAAAGAUUAAAUAAUAAAAAAAAUGAAGAGUGAGGACGCAAACAUCCCAGAACUCAUCGUCC